rnacentral:misc_RNA from 1 species
GAUGAAGAACGCAGCAAAAUGCGAUACUUGGUGUGAAUUGCAGAAUCCCGUGAACCAUCGAGUUUUUGAACGCAAGUUGCGCCCGAAGCCUUUUGGCCGAGGGCACGUCUGCCUGGGCGUCACGCAUCGCGUCGCCCCCCACAAUUCUCCGUAAAGGGAACAUGUGUUUUGGGGGCGGAUAUUGGUCUCCCGUGCUCAUGGCGUGGUUGGCCGAAAUAGGAGUCCUUUCGAUGGACGCACGAACUAGUGGUGGUCGUAAAAACUCUCGUCUUUUGUUUCGUGCUGUUGCUCGCAAGGUAAACUCUUUAAAAACCCCAAUGUGUCGUCUCUUGACGACGCUUCGACCGCGACCCCAGGUCAGGCGGGACUACCCGCUGAGUUUAAGCAUAUCAAUAAGCGGAGGA